UUAGUAAAGCACUUUCAGCAGUGAGGAAGCGGAGUCGUAAUAGCGCUCGUUUGACGUUAGCUGCAGAAGAAGCACCGGCUAACUCCGUGCCAGCAGCCGCGGUAAUACGGAGGGUGCGAGCGUUAAUCGGAAUUACUGGGCGUAAAGCGCAUGCAGGCGGUCCUGUUAAGUCAGAUGUAGAAACGGCCCGGGGCUUAACCUCGGAAUUGCAUUUGAAACUGGCAGGCUAGAGUCUUGUAGAGGGGGUAGAAUUUCAGGUGUAGCGGUGAAAUGCGUAGAGAUCUGAAGGAAUACCAGUGGCGAAGGCCGGCCCCCUGGACAAAGACUGACGCUCAGAUGCGAAAGCGUGGGGAGCAAACAGGAUUAGAUACCCUGGUAG
rnacentral:rRNA from 1 species